rnacentral:rRNA from 1 species
ACGCUCGACACCUACGGGGGGCAGCAGUGAGGAAUAUUGGUCAAUGGGCGCAGGCCUGAACCAGCCAAGUAGCGUGAAGGAUGACUGCCCUAUGGGUUGUAAACUUCUUUUAUAUGGGAAUAAAGUUUUCCACGUGUGGAAUUUUGUAUGUACCAUAUGAAUAAGGAUCGGCUAACUCCGUGCCCGCAGCCGCGUAUCUGAGCGGGCUGGCAAGGC